GUACUGAUGAAGAGUCCCAAACUAGGACGAAACAGCUGUACAGCAC
rfam:Trichobilharzia regenti genome assembly, scaffold: TRE_scaffold0037591